rnacentral:lncRNA from 1 species
AAGGGGUGCAUGGAUCUGGGGUUCGAUUUGCAGCAGCAGAACCCCCACCCCUCCAACCCCGCCGGUGAGCCAAUUCCUCCCCGUGCUUCUCCCUCCCAUCCCUACUCACUAGUCUCAUCUCUCUCUCUCCCCUCACCCUCUCUCUUUCUCAAACAGGAAGCAACACAACUCCACCACAACAAUUGUAUCGCCCGCGUCAAGUCGCCAGAACCUGUGGACCAACGCGCGCCGUUGCGACCUUGCACCCUCGUCCGACCUUCUCCGCUCCUAGAUUUGGUUUGGGCCACAACUGUGAUUAUUGCCUAUCGAUUGUGCUUGUUUGAUUUGGAGCUCCCUUCGCUCCCUCUUCCCUCUUGCGGGAUUAAUUGCUUCAUUCUGUUUCCCUCCUACGCUUCUUGAUUUAUGAUGCGGCAAAGUCGCGUGCGUAUAUAACUUGAUUGAAUUGGUUGCACAGGAGCGAGGUGGGACUAAAUCACGACAUGGAGAUUGAGAAGGUUACAACGAAGGAGGUAGGAGAGGACUCGCGGCGGCGGACAGGGUCACAGCGGCGCCGUUGCUGGAAAGCGAGCGCCUGGACAAGAUAAAACAGAGGAUUGCGGAUUGAAUUCUUACAAAUGUAGUUUUUUUUUGUAAAAAGCGAAAUAUUUUCUCAGAUUCACUCAAAAAGGGACUGUGGGUUGAAUUUUCAGAAAACACAAGGACUUUUCUGUAAAAACACAAACGACGUAUGACCAGAAGUAAUCACCGCUUUAUUAUUAGGGAGAGAUAAUAAAAGGUUAUUGCUUAUGGCAGUACGUCAUUAAAAUUGCCCCCAAAAUUACAAAACAUUACCCACCAAUGCCACAUAUAAGUGACAAAAAACAUUCUGCAGGGAAUCCCUGCCUAGGCCUGCCCAAGCAUAAGGACCUACUAUACUGCACCCUGCGCGCUGGAGAAGACACAACUCACCCGUUCAGGCCGACCCAUGUGCGGCAUGUUUCUUUAGUUUCGUUUUAUUUUCUUUAU